rnacentral:lncRNA from 1 species
UGUUAUACCACUGUAAACAAACAAUCCUGUAAAUAACAUCUUCUAGAUAACAUCAAAAAUUAUAAAAUAGGUAAUAUGUUUUUAAAUAUAUAAUAUGGUAUUAAAGUAAUAACUUCAGAUUUUGUCAAAACUUGUUAAUGUGUGAUUGGAUUUAAAAAUGGAGGUUUAGACUGAAGCACCACUAGGAUAGAGGAGAGAUGGCAAAGUGAGUGGGAGACGAGUAUUUAUAUGCAGAAUUUAUAGGAGAAACUUUGCAGAUGGAUUCCAUGAGCCUUGGACUUCUAAACCACAUAGAAAGUCUAAAAGGGAGUAGAGGGAAGAUGUGUGAACGCUUGUGGAGAGGUGCGUGUGGAAAAUGAUGUGGCUGUGUUGUGAAUCCUCAUUCCCUCACAGGGAGGAGGUGGCUGGGGGAGCCACACCCUUCAUCUGUAGCCUAGUGAGAGGAUUUCCAUCAGCUGUUGCAGGGCUCUUGAAGUGUGUUCUUACACUUGGGAGAUGCAGAGUACUGCUGCCUGAGAAGGAUGAAGUGGGCUCUAGUAAGAGCAUAGAGAUGCCUGGGAUUGCCCUGCACUCCCAGAAGUUUUUGGAGCAAGGGAUGUAUCAUUGUCUUCCGAUCCAAAUACUGGCCAUGUGAAAGAGCUGGUGUGGGACUGUCCUGGGUCUUGCCCAACAGGGCCACCUAGAAGGAUGGAGGGACCCCAGCAGCAAGGAGCUGAAAGGGAUGCUCCGUUUCUGGGAGCUCGGGAGGGAUCUGAAGAUACUGCCCCGAAUC